UUAUUAAUAAAUAGUACGUUGUAGAUGCAAUCUUUAAAUUCUAAUUAAUUAUUAAAAUUGUAUCCAACUAGGGUUCGCAAAUUAAUGUCUUGUAUAUCAAGAUAUACACGUAUAUAUACCAUUUACAUGUUAUAUCUCAUUAGAGGAGCACGUUUCCGGUUUUCAUUAGGGAUUUAAUAAGUUUAGUGAUCAGACAGCUUUAUUUCCUUCGAGUGCAUUGUUUCGCUACGAAUAUUCUCGUUAUCAUUUUCCUUCCUUCCACAUUCCAACCAACAAUCUCCAUUUGUAAUCCUCUUUAAGUAAAAGAUAUAAAACAAAUUUAUAAGCAAUUAUUCUCGAGUCCAAAUUCCCAUACACAAUUUGUUGCACUCGUAAUGACGACUUCUGUUUUCAAUCUUCUUUAAGACAAGAUAUCGUCUUAAAGAAUCGUCUUCGACACACCGUCCAUUAUCGUAUUUUAGAAUUUAAUUUCACAAAAUAAAAAUCGAUUGUUUUUAACCCGAAAAACCCUCGAACAAUCAUUGCAUUAAGAGGUUAAGUUUCCCUCGGAAUAAUAAUAAUAAUAUUCUCGACUUCUCAUUUAUAUCCUUGUUUUAAUUCUUAUUCUAUCUUUCUUUUUAAUUUCAGGAGCUUUUAAACUCCACUUUAUCUCCCAUUACGGUCCAUUACGAGAAUCUCCACAUAAAAUCUCAUAGGAGCGGGAACAAUUUGAUGGUGGCUUCUCUUCUGGCAGAUUCAUUAUUGGUGUGAUCGUUGGUGCGAUUUGAUGAUUGAUGAGGGUGAUUGAGGUGAUCGAUCGAGGAUGGAUUGUAAGAAAUUGAAAUGAUUUAUUUUGAUAGAACAAUCGAUAUAUUUGUGUUUUGUAUAAAUUUUGUGUUAUUUUUUUUUUUUUUUUUUUUAGUUAUGUAUCGUUGAUAUGCCUCAGAGAAGUGUUGUUUGAAUGAUAGAUUAUUGGAAUUAAUUAAAAUUGAAAGUUGAAAAUGUGAUGAUAGUGACAAUGUGUGACAAUAUGUUGAUAAUUUGUAAAGUAAUUGAAUGUGAAUAUUGUGGUUGGAGAAUAAUUGGCUUAAUUAACACGUUGACUGUAUGCGAAAGACUCGGAAGGAUCUUUUUACACAAUAUAUCGGAUUUUAUCGAGUGUAUAUAUAUGUAUGUAUUUUUUAAACUAUUAAUUUUAAAUUACAGAUGACUCUCGAUGGAAAUCGUCAGAGGCCUUCAUUAACAGUCAACAUUGUUAACUGUUGAUCUGAAAUCAACGGUGUGAUGAUGUAAUUUGACGUGGAUAUUUUUGCGUUCCGACAAACCGUAGUAGAAAAUAAUUUCAGAAGCUUUUUCAUGUACUUGAUCAUUGAUAUAUUUAAAAGUUUCUUCACAUUGACAUCAUACUUAUCUU